rnacentral:rRNA from 1 species
CCUACGGGCGGCUGCAGUGGGGAAUAUUGGACAAUGGGGGGAACCCUGAUCCAGCCAUGCCGCGUGUGUGAAGAAGGCCCUCGGGUUGUAAAGCACUUUCAGUGAGGAAGAACGCCUGGUGGUUAAUACCCAUCAGGAAAGACAUCACUCACAGAAGAAGCACCGGCUAACUCCGUGCCAGCAGCCGCGGUAAUACGGAGGGUGCGAGCGUUAAUCGGAAUUACUGGGCGUAAAGCGCGCGUAGGUGGCUUGAUAAGCCGGUUGUGAAAGCCCCGGGCUCAACCUGGGAACGGCAUCCGGAACUGUCGAGCUAGAGUGCAGGAGAGGAAGGUAGAAUUCCCGGUGUAGCGGUGAAAUGCGUAGAGAUCGGGAGGAAUACCAGUGGCGAAGGCGGCCUUCUGGACUGACACUGACACUGAGGUGCGAAAGCGUGGGUAGCAAACAGGAUUAGAUACCCUGGUAGUC